CCAAAACUUUGGGGUUAAAACUCUAGUGUCUUAGGCUGAACCAUGGCCGUCUCGAUUCAUCAGGCCACCUAUAACUCAAAAGCGUUGUAUUC